rnacentral:rRNA from 1 species
GACGUAGGGCGCGAGCGUUUGUCCGGAAUUAUUGGGCGUAAAGGGCUCGUAGGCGGUUUGUCGCGUCGGGAGUGAAAACUCAGGGCUUAACCCUGAGCCUGCUUCCGAUACGGGCAGACUAGAGGUAUGCAGGGGAGAACGGAAUUCCUGGUGUAGCGGUGAAAUGCGCAGAUAUCAGGAGGAACACCGGUGGCGAAGGCGGUUCUCUGGGCAUUACCUGACGCUGAGGAGCGAAAGUGUGGGGAGCGAACAGG